GUGCUUGCCUCAGCAGCACAUACACUAAAAUUGGAACAAUACAGAGAAUAUUAGCAUGGCCCAGUGCAAAGAUGAUACAAAUUCAUGAAGUGUUCCAUAUAAGA